rnacentral:rRNA from 1 species
GACGAACGCUGGCGGCGUGCCUAAUACAUGCAAGUAGAACGCUGAAGGAGGAGCUUGCUUCUCUGGAUGAGUUGCGAACGGGUGAGUAACGCGUAGGUAACCUGCCUGGUAGCGGGGGAUAACUAUUGGAAACGAUAGCUAAUACCGCAUAAUAGUAGAUGUUGCAUGACAUUUGCUUAAAAGGUGCAAUUGCAUCACUACCAGAUGGACCUGCGUUGUAUUAGCUAGUUGGUGGGGUAACGGCUCACCAAGGCGACGAUACAUAGCCGACCUGAGAGGGGGAUCGGCCACACUGGGACUGAGACACGGCCCAGAAUCCUACGGGGGGCAGCAGUAGGGAAUCUUCGGCAAUGGACGGAAGUCUGACCGAGCAACGCCGCGUGAGUGAAGAAGGUUUUCGGAUCGUAAAGCUCUGUUGUAAGAGAAGAACGAGUGUGAGAGUGGAAAGUUCACACUGUGACGGUAUCUUACCAGAAAGGGACGGCUAACUACGUG